rnacentral:rRNA from 1 species
CACUCCUGCGGGAGGCAGCAGUGGGGAAUAUUGGACAAUGGGCGCAAGCCUGAUCCAGCCAUGCCGCGUGAGUGAUGAAGGCCCUAGGGUUGUAAAGCUCUUUCACCGGUGAAGAUAAUGACGGUAACCGGAGAAGAAGCCCCGGCUAACUUCGUGCCAGCAGCCGCGGUAAUACGAAGGGGGCUAGCGUUGUUCGGAUUUACUGGGCGUAAAGCGCACGUAGGCGGACUAUUAAGUCAGGGGUGAAAUCCCGGGGCUCAACCCCGGAACUGCCUUUGAUACUGGUAGUCUUGAGUUCGAGAGAGGUGAGUGGAAUUCCGAGUGUAGAGGUGAAAUUCGUAGAUAUGCGGAGGAACACCAGUGGCGAAGGCGGCUCACUGGCUCGAUACUGACGCUGAGGUGCGAAAGCGUGGGGAGCAAACAGGAUUAGAUACCCGAGUAGUCCCAU